UAAAAGACAGAGAAAUCAAAAUGUGGUCCCCCAAAUUCUCCCCUCUCGCUUUUCCCAAAUUACUAUUCCCUCCAAAUUCUAUUUCCCCAUCAAAUCAGAUUCCCGCUCCCCAAAUCCCACUCCCCACGAUUCAUGCCGAAACAUUAUAUUCAGACCUACGCUCUCAAUCUCACUUCUUUUUAGUGAACUGCUUCUUUAGGGUUUAGUUUAAUUCUUUCACUUUCUCGGUAUCGUCGGUGAGUAUACCUUACAUUCUUUUAAUCUCUUGUGAUGUGCCAGAAUCAGCAGACAACCGCUAUUUCAUGAACUUUGAAAGUGAUAAGAGGUAACAAAGUUGCAAUGAAACUCUCACGGCCUAUUUAGACUUCAAGGCUUCAUUCUUAGACUCCAAAGCAGUCAACCUUCAGUAUGCUGUCUUGAUAGAGGAGGAGGGGUAUAUAGUCUCAAGGUACUCCUUGUUUUGUUUGCAAGAUGGAUAUAAAGUUCAAAUGCACUGAUGACGAUGAGUACAAAUUAGAGGAGUACAUUAUUCGGAUUGAAUUGAGAAACUAAUUUGGAUUAACAAAAUUUGAGAUUUGAUGGAUGUAAUAGGGGUUCCAGCAGAUGGAAGAUACUAAUGGAUUUUCAUAUUCUCAAGUUGAACGUUGUUUCAGUUUCAUGAUUGAUCAUUUUUCACAUCAUUUAUUAAUUUAAUUAAUUAUGUUUUUGAGGUGUUGAUGUGUGAGUUCACGAUGAAAGGGAAUAAUGCUGUAAUGAGAAAAUUAAUGAGGAAAAGAAAAUAAGCUUUCGUGAGGGAGGAGCAAAGAGUUACUACACAUUAUGUUGUGACUCUAGGAAAGGUUAGUAAUAUAAGGUAUCAUGAAAUGGCUUGUUUAUGCACUUAACAAGCUCAUUUCUAUUGUGCGAUAAUAAAAAAGGGCUGUUUAUAUUUAAGAAUUGUUAAUCCCCAUUGUCAUCCACUUUACCUUUGUUAAUUUCAAGUCAGAUGUGUGAUUUAUUAAGUACUAAAUUAUUUUGAUAUGGAACUACUUUGUUAGUGUACUGUUUAAAUUUGUCUCUGCUGGUUAAGGCUUAUCUAUAAUAUGUUGUCUAAUUUUAUUGAUACAUUUCCAAAUUUUUGGUUGUAGGUCCCUGAUUUCUGUCUAUGUGGUCGAUAGAAGCUCUGUUUUUUUUAAUAAAUAUAUCAAAAUUAUGGCGAAGAAUAUAGGGAGUGAGGGGCUCCAAUUAAUGUCUUGUUUCACGGUUAUGGUAAAUAUGACAUAUUGGAGACAAUUUCAGAGAAGAUUCACCAAAAGCUAGAAGAAUAAAAAUAGGGUAAGAUUCCCUUAGACAUAGUCUUCAUUAAAUUUUCAUAAAGGUAAUUAGCAACUACGAUCAAGUUAAAUUGAUAAGAAGUUUAGCCAUCCUGUUAACAAAAAUUCAUAUUUGUUGAGAAAAUGAGGAACAAGGUAAACAUAAUUUUGAGUGUUUGUGCAAAUUUUAAGAAUUAUUCUAUUGUGAACUAUUAUGUGUAAUGGUUCGUAUCUCAAAUUAGUACAAGAUUCAAAACUUGACUUCCGUUGCUUGCGAAAAAGGACAGGUUGUUGAUUUCUGUUAGUUUUCAGAAUCCCUAUUAUAGGGUAGUAGGUAAGUUCAAGAAAUUUUUAUUUUUUCUUUAGGUCUUCCUGAAUUCCUCCUUGAUAUUUUCUAGUUAAGUAUAUGACUUCCUAACAUGUCAAACCGAUAGUUGAAUGUAUCUGGACAAUUCUUUUAAUUUCUCAUGACAAAUUUUACUUUCAGUAUCUGCUAACUUUAUUGUAUUUUGGUAGUUUAUGAUGGAACUUGUGAUAGGUAUAUUUAUAUUGAAAAAAACUAGUUGGAAAGUGAGACUUCUCGUUCAAACCCAUUAAGGAGAUAUGGGUAAGUGAAUGAAAUUCUUAGCAGUAGUUUUCAUCCCUAUCUCUCUAUAUCUUUUUUUUGGUUAGAGGCUUCUUCACACUUUUCCAGUGUUUAUUCUCAUCUAGAAGGUAUUCAUGAUGACUUAAUAAAGUAAUGCAUUGUUGAAGCGGCGACUAAUGAGCAAGAAGCUCAUUUGAUUGGAAUUUCCUCAACUCAGUUAAUAUCUAAUGCUCUCUCCUCUGAUGCUGGCUGCUUUUAAUAUACUAUCUUGGCAAAACAUCCUAAAAUAUUGUUAUCGUUCCCAACACUGCUGCAUGUGCCUUAACAUUUUCAACUUCGAAAGUUGCGUCUCUUGAUCCUGCUAAGCAUGGCAACUGAAAGCACUAUUCAAAAUCCAUUUUCCUUGCUACAGACUUAUCCAAAAAUUAGCAAAGGCCUAAUGAAAGAGAGAAUAUUUGAAAGAUGCCAUGAGCCUUUUGUUAUUCCUGGUAAAUCACAAGUAAUUGCUUCCUGUUUUCCUCAAGAAUCCGUCUUGAUGUUGUUUCUUGGAAUUAAUGGAUCCUUCUUUUGGUAGUGAAGCGAAAUUUGGUUUGUUCAAUUGGAGGUUUAGACAAAAUCAAAAGAAUAGAAGUUGAACUGUAUGAAGUGUUUGGAAGGACUUUUGGCCUUUUGGGUAUUUUCUGGAUUUGCCUUUUGCAUUGUGCUGACUCGCGGGACAUAUUCUUGAUUUGCACAAGUUUCUAUUUCUACUCCUUAUUGAUGGAUAUGUUCUAAGCUUGGGUAUGCUUAAACCAGCUUACAGAUUUUGGUUUGCCAAAUAUUGGACUUUUGAACAGUACAAAUGAUCAAUCUGGACCCGCUACAGAGGAUAUAGUGCUUCCUGAUGUUGGUAGUCAGCAAGAUCCAGAUCUAUCAGACAAAUCUCAACAGUCUGUUGUUGGUACCCUGACUAUUUUGCUCCGAAAAUUCUUCUUGGAACUAAGCACGGUGAGAAAGAAAUUGCUAUGCUACACUUGGUGACAUGUUGUUACUCCCUCCCCAUGACACCCUUGACUAAACAUAAGAACAUGACAUAAGAUAAACAGGGGCAUUAGGAGUGAGAACGAAAGGAACAUAAGUAGAAUUUACAAUCUGAUUAUAUGUACAGGUAGCGAUGCUGAUUAGUGGUCAGUAGGAAUUAUUUAUUUGAACUCAUCACUGGGAUUCCGCCUUUCAAUACCUAGCAUAUUGAGGUAUUAUAAUAUAGUUCAUAACAACAUGUAUAAUUGGUGUUAAAGCACUCUUUACAUAGUCCUCUAUUUUGAGUGUCAUUCACAUUACAAUUAUCUGAUAUUAUUUUUUGUCAUAUUGAAAUCAUAGGAUAUGGAAGAUGAUCUCUCACUGCAUUUUCUGGUGCAUUUAAAUGGAGAAAUCGGACUGUUAUGGUGCAAAAGCUUUAUAUUAAUGGCACUAUUUAAAUGGAGAAAUCAGACUUUUUGAUGUUGUUAAUUUUUUCUAUUAAUUUCAGGGCAUAUAAUCGUGCUGCGAUCAAAUUUAGAGGACUGGAUGCGGAUAUCAAUUUCAAUGUGAAUGAUUACCAUGAUGAUCUAAAGUCCCAAUUGAGAAGACCAAUCCAUUGGUGUGAUUGCUGAUGGUGAAGAUGCCAAUGGGAAGCCUCACAAACUCGGAUUGUGUUCGAUUACUAGCAAUGCCCUUGGUGACUCCAAAACUAUAAGGUGAUAUCCUCUAGAAUACAAUUAGAUGCAACAAAUGAUGGUUAUGAUAAUCAAGAGCUGUUUUCUCAAACUUCAAUCUAGGUCCUUUGCUAUUUGCACAUUUAAUAUAAGAAGGAAAAGGUUCUUCAACAACGGGAAAUGAAGUCAACCACAACCAGGAGUUUGAAGAUACGAAUAGUUUGGAGACAUCUUAUAUUAUUUUAUGGGUUAGGCAUGUAUACAGAGAAAAUGUAUUAUCAUGUAAUACUUUAUGUUGUUUGGCUUUUUAGCAAUGAAAUAUUCUUAUAUAAUUCUAUUUCCCAAGAUAAUCUUAUUGACUAUGAAUUAACAUUGUAAUUUAUGACAAUUGCAAUUGUAAUUAAUUAUGACAA